rnacentral:rRNA from 1 species
UACGGAGGGGGCGAGCGUUAUUCGGAAUUAUUGGGCGUAAAGAGCUCGUAGGCGGCCUGUCGCGUCGGAUGUGAAAGCCCGGGGCUUAACCCCGGGUCUGCAUUCGAUACGGGCAGGCUAGAGUGUGGUAGGGGAGAUCGGAAUUCCUGGUGUAGCGGUGAAAUGCGCAGAUAUCAGGAGGAACACCGGUGGCGAAGGCGGAUCUCUGGGCCAUUACUGACGCUGAGGAGCGAAAGCGUGGGGAGCGAACAGG